GUGGCCGAGGCGCAGCAGUGUUUGUGCCUCCCGCACCAGACAGGCGCGCACCGCCGCCUCGUCCACCGCCGGCACCACGUACUUGUUGAAGCUGCAGUAGGAGCAGUGCUUGCGGCAGUAGGGCCAGUGCACGUAGAGAGCGGCUGUCGCGGGCCCCGCCGGUUCGGGGCCGGGAUCGGAGGGCUCCGAGGCCGACCUCAGCCCCGCAGCGCAGCCCGGACCCAUCCCGCGUGGCCGCGCCGCCCCGAGCCCCGCACGGAGGCCCCGCACCGCCAUCGCGCAGCGCAGCGCAGCGCACCGCCCCCGUUCCGCCCCGGGCGCCGCGCGAGGUUCCGUUUUCCGGACACCGCCUCGUCUUACUUGAACUGAGCGCGCGGCUGCCGCGCGUUAAUGACUGCAGCCUUUAAUUAAUUACACGUUCGAAUGGCGUCUGACGCGCGGCCUGAGCGACAGCGCGACGGGAAACGGCUCUGCGCGGCCGGGAAGGUCCGGGUCGGGCGUGAGCGGAAAACCUCCGCCCGGAGGCGGUGCGGCCCCGGCCCUGGAGCAGCCCUGGAGCAGCCCCGGAGCCCCGGGAUGGGAGCGCUCCGCCCGCGGCGGGGACGGGAACUGCGUGACCUUUACGGUCCCCUCCGCCCCCGCCCCGCCCCCCCCGCUCCACGAUCCCACGACGUUCCCGAGAUCCCAGCCGAGCCCACGCUGCGCCCCACCGCCACCCCCUGCGCCCAGCGGGGCUCAGCCCGAGGGACGCGCCGGGCGGUGGGAAAGGAGGUGGGGAGGAGGGGAGGUGGGCCCGGGGCUGUUCUGCUUCCCGCGCCCCAGGAAGGAGGCACCGCUUCGUGCUCCCACCUGCGGGCGGUGUUGGGGGCAUUCCGCCGGGACGGCGCUGACAUCGCUGCGUGCAGCCCCGGCCCGCCCCCCCUCUGCCCCCCCUCCCCGCUGCCCCCGCAGUCCCCACGGCUGCGGGAGGAGACGGAACCGCCGCGUUUCUCCGCUCGCGGUUGUGCAAAGCUGGCGCUGCCGGUCCAAAGCGUCGUAUUUUCUUAAUUUGCGCUAUUAAUAGAAGUGGAGAAGUGAGAAAGGUCUGCGACAAAGGGAGGGGAAAGCCGGCACCGCAGAUUCCCGUUCUCAGGCCGACGUCACCCUCUCCUCCCCGGAUCCCACAGCGGGGAGUUUCCCAGCUGGCUGCGAGGCCUAUAAGGUGGGGAUGGGCUGCAGCUGCACAGAUCACGUAUGGGCUCCGUGACCGAUGUGAUGCGGAGAGCUCUGAUGUGCAUUCAUGGUAUUGUGUCUGUUUACCCACACAAGGCAGGAUUGAUUUCAUCUUCAUCUCAUAGCAGCCAAGCUCAGGGAUCCCACACCCAGGAAGCACCUACGGACAACAGUCAUCUCACUGGGAGGGUCUGCUUCCAUGGGUAGAUCCCACAGUCCAGCUGGGAGAGCCAAAACUGACCUCACUGACGCUUCAUCGCUCCCCCUUUGCACCACCGCUCCUCACCCAUCAGAGGAUGAGGCUCAGCUGCUUCAGGAGGUGGAAAGAGGUUGGUGAGAGUUGGUUGCAGUGUAACCUGCAGCCCAGCUGGCAUGGGCCACUCGACGGGAGGGGAAAGGAGCUCCGCUCUGCAGCUUCUCGUCGUAGUGUUUCAUGGUUGGGAGGUACCAAACUCCCGUAAAAACGCUGUCCCAGGUUUGCUCUGCUUUACACUUCUCAUGGGACAGAAAGUUUGGUAUUUCUGUACAAUGCUUACUGUCUGUCUUAUCCAAAGCAACAAAAAUAAACACCAUUAAGUCCGUGUUGGCGAAGUUUAUUUGCGGGUCAGAAGGCCCCUUGGGAGGCCUGGGAACAGGGCUAGCAUCUCCAGCCAGCUAUGGGGAGCCACUUCCUACGGAAAGCCUUUCUGCCUAAAGCCUCUGCCCUUCACUUCAAGUUUAUCAGGUGUGCCAUUUCAGUGGGUGAUUUAUAUGCCCUAUGAAUCCCAACAGCACCCAAGCAGAGAAGGCAUUCACCAGGUGAGGCUGUUGUGACCUCAAAUAUUAGUAAAAAUAGGAAAAAUGUGUUUCCAGCAUCUGUUCAGGCCCAGAAAGUCCUCUGAAAUGGCUGUAGGCAAGUUGCUCAAAGAGAAGCAAGACUUGGCAACCUUCAUGAAGUCUCAGAGUAACAGGACAGAGUUCCAGAAGUAAGCAUCUUUUCC
rnacentral:lncRNA from 1 species